CAGUCAGGCUGAGCUGCUCCCGGUCGGGCAGGAAAACGCAGACGCUGCGGCCCUCAGGGUGCAUCCUGCCGGACAGCAGCGCCCGGCUCAUGGCGGGCAGCUCCGUGUGGCCCCGCCAGCAGCACCCGAUGUCUCCUCUCCGCUGUGGAUGGGCGUCAGGCUCCUUUCAUCCCACGCACCUGCGCGGGACGCCCCCGGGGCUCAGCCGUUCCGUCUGGGGCUGCAUCCGACGCGUGCCGAGCCGAGAGCGG
rnacentral:lncRNA from 1 species